AUUGAACGCUGGCGGCAUGCUUUACACAUGCAAGUCGAACGGUAACAGGUUAAGCUGACGAGUGGCGAACGGGUGAGUAAUGCAUCGGAACGUGCCCGAUCGUGGGGGAUAACGCAGCGAAAGCUGCGCUAAUACCGCAUACGAUCUGAGGAUGAAAGCGGGGGACCGUAAGGCCUCGCGCGAUCGGAGCGGCCGAUGUCAGAUUAGGUAGUUGGUGGGGUAAAGGCUCACCAAGCCAACGAUCUGUAGCUGGUCUGAGAGGACGACCAGCCACACUGGGACUGAGACACGGCCCAGACUCCUACGGGAGGCAGCAGUGGGGAAUUUUGGACAAUGGGCGAAAGCCUGAUUCAGCAAUGCCGCGUGCAGGAAGAAGGCCUCCGGGUUGUAAACUGCUUUUGUACGGAGCGAAAAGGUUCUCUCUAAUACAGAGGGCUCAUGACGGUACCGUAAGAAUAAGCACCGGCUAACUACGUGCCAGCCGCCGCAGUAACAC
rnacentral:rRNA from 1 species